UGAACGCUGGCGGCGUGCUUAACACAUGCAAGUCGAACGAGAAAUGAUAUUACGAUCUCUUCGGAGUGACGGUUUUAUUUCGAGUGGCGGACGGGUGAGUAACGCGUGAGCAACCUGCCCUAUACCGGGGGAUACCAGUUGGAAACGACUGUUAAUACCGCAUAAGCGCACGAUAAGACAUCUUGUUGUGUGAAAAACUCCGGUGGUAUAGGAUGGGCUCGCGUAUGAUUAGCCAGUUGGCGGGGUAAAGGCCCACCAAAGCGACGAUCAUUAGCCGACCUGAGAGGGCGACCGGCCACAUUGGGACUGAGACACGGCCCAAACUCCUACGGGAGGCAGCAGUGGGGAAUAUUGCACAAUGGGCGAAAGCCUGAUGCAGCGACGCCGCGUGAGUGAGGAAGUAUUUCGGUAUGUAAAGCUCUAUCAGCAGGGAAGAAAGA
rnacentral:rRNA from 1 species